GCAUAGCGGCGCCAGAAUUAAAGCGUCGGCUUGAAAACUCACAGGUGCGGCACGAGGCAGUGAAGCAGGAUUAUAGAACAGCGAAUGUCAAGACACCUCCUCCCAAAGUGGGAUGUAAUCCUGUUAUUUCAAUUGUGGCGGGCCUGUGAUUAAACUGUAAGCUGAAUGUGUUCAUCCAUCCACUCUUUCAAUUCACUGAAACAAUAAAUCAGGGACACCACUGGAGAAACGUCACUUGGUCUGAGAGGAACAUAGAGCCGUCUGCAUGUGAGUGACGAAGUCCAAUCUUUGCCCUCCUUAUUGUCUUUGAGACCGC